AAAAUACUGGUUCCCGUACGAUUACCGAAGUUAAGCAACAUCAAACCUGAUCUGUACCGAGAUGGGUGACCACUUGAGAAUAUCAAGUGAUGUAAG